rnacentral:rRNA from 1 species
CAGCCGCCGCGGUAAAACGAAGGGUGCAAGCGUUACUCGGAAUUACUGGGCGUAAAGCGUGCGUAGGUGGUGGUUUAAGUCCGUUGUGAAAGCCCUGGGCUCAACCUGGGAAUUGCAGUGGAUACUGGGUCACUAGAGUGUGGUAGAGGAUAGUGGAAUUUCCGGUGUAGCAGUGAAAUGCGUAGAGAUCGGAAGGAACAUCUGUGGCGAAGGCGACUAUCUGGGCCAACACUGACACUGAGGCACGAAAGCGUGGGGAGCAAACAGGAUUAGAUACCCGAGUAGUCCCUGUCUCUUAUAU